CAGUCGCCGCGGUAAUACGAAGGGGGCUAGCGUUGUUCGGAAUUACUGGGCGUAAAGCGUGCGUAGGCGGUUCGUUAAGUCUGUUGUGAAAGCCCCGGGCUCAACCUGGGAAUGGCAAUGGAUACUGGCGAGCUAGAGUGUGUCAGAGGAUGGUGGGAUUUCCGGUGUAGCGGUGAAAUGCGUAGAUAUCGGAAGGAACACCUGUGGCGAAAGCGGCUCACUGGACCAUUUCUGACGCUGAUGCACGAAAGCUAGGGGAGCAAACAGGAUUAGAUACCCCGGUAGUCCCUGUCUCUUAUAC
rnacentral:rRNA from 1 species